UGGUUGUUUACACCUGUCUAAGCACUAUGACCCUUUUCUCUCUCUUUCUUUCAUCUCGUUUCUUCUUCUCUCUCUAGGCUAAUUAAGGGUUGAGGAGAUUGGUGUUGGCAGCCUGGAGGUUUGCGGGCUGAGGAGGGAGACCUGAUCCGAGCAAGGGAUUCCUGCUGUUGGAAUUACUGAGCAGCUUGGUAGAAGCUUUUAACUAAGGUCAAAGAAGAAACCUGUGAAGUUGAGUUGUGAAGUGAAGUUAGCAGGUUUGGGGCUUUGGUUUGUUGGACCUGCUGAAUAGGAAAAUUGGGUUGUUGAAACUAAAAGCAACUUGGAGGAACAUCAGGAGUAACAGAUUUGAGGUCGGACCUAUUGGAGUUGUCGAGUUGAAGCUUCGGUUGAGGGAAGAUUUGGAGAAGCUUCUAAUUCAGGGGGCUGCACGAGGAGAAGAAGUAGUGCUGAAAUUCUGCAUAUAGUGCAGAAUUUCAGCCUUAGAGAUUCCUGCUGUGGAGCUUCUUUGGUAAUUCAAGCUGCAACAAAUUUGGAGCUUGGAAUUUAGUAAGCUGUAAAGGAGAGGGUGAGGUGCUGAAAUUUCAGCACUAUGCAGAAUUUCAGCAUACACUUCUUGCUGAUUGGAGCUGAAAUAGAACCGAGUAGACCUUUAAACUCAGUGACUGUAAGAAGGAGGAAAUAGUAGCGCGGAUUUCAGCAUUGAAGCUAUGCGUUAUUAGAGCUAAAAGAAAGCUUGUUGAGGCUGCGAAUCGAGGGGCUGCGAAGAAGAAGCCGAAGUGCUGAAAUUUUUGCAUGGUGCAGAAUUUCAGCAUGAAACAGAUUUUAGUAAAAGCUGAAAACAAGCCAGGAGGAGCUCAAAAUUGAGGUUUGAGACACAUUAACUACGACAGGAACCAUUUUGGGCUCUAGUGGCAUUGAGUCGAGGAGAAUCAUUUUGGUAUAGUUGGGAUAUUGGUUCUCUUAGCAUCCCUACAGGUUCCAGUGCGAGCGAUGUGGCCGAGGAUCGUGGCAAGAGUCCCGCAGUGUAGCUAGCUGACACCAGAGUAUAGUACUUUACCAUUUUGAGUUCAUGUGAGACAUUUUGAUGUACAGAGACAUGUGAACGAAUGUACUAUAAAGCAUGUAGAUAACUAAAUGUUUCAGUUAUACAGUUCAGUUUGAAAGUUUUAAAUU